UUAGCGGCGAACGGGUGAGGAACACGUGAGAAAUCUGCCUUCAACACUGGGAUAACUCCGGGAAACCGGGGCUAAUACCGGAUAUGAAAUCUGCGGGCAUCCGCGGAUUUGGAAAGUUUUUCGGUUGAAGAUGAUCUCGCGGCCUAUCAGCUUGUUGGUGAGGUAAUGGCUCACCAAGGCGACGACGGGUAGCCGGCCUGAGAGGGCGACCGGCCACACUGGGACUGAGACACGGCCCAGACUCCUACGGGAGGCAGCAGUGGGGAAUAUUGGGCAAUGGAGGAAACUCUGACCCAGCGACGCCGCGUGCGGGAUGAAGGCCUUCGGGUUGUAAACCGCUUUCAGCAGGGAAGAAGCGAAAGUGACGGUACCUGCAGAAGAAGCACCGGCUAACUAUGUGCCAGCAGCCGCGGUAAUACAUAGGGUGCAAGCGUUGUCCGGAAUUAUUGGGCGUAAAGAGCUCGUAGGUGGUUCGUCACGUCGGAUGUGAAACUCUGGGGCUU
rnacentral:rRNA from 1 species